rnacentral:rRNA from 1 species
UGAGGAAUUUUCCGCAAUGGGCGAAAGCCUGACGGAGCAAUGCCGCGUGAAGGAUGAAGGCCUGUGGGUUGUAAACUUCUUUUCUCAGAGAAGAAAUUUUGACGGUAUCUGAGGAAUAAGCAUCGGCUAACUCUGUGCCAGCAGCCGCGGUAAGACAGAGGAUGCAAGCGUUAUCCGGAAUGAUUGGGCGUAAAGCGUCUGUAGGUGGUUUGACAAGUUUCCUGUCAAAGAUCAGGGCUUAACCCUGGGCCGGCAGGAAAAACUAUCAGGCUAGAGUACGGUAGGGGCAGAGGGAAUUCCCGGUGGAGCGGUGAAAUGCGUAGAUAUCGGGAGGAACACCAAAGGCGAAAGCACUCUGCUGGGCCGUUUUUUUUCGAUUCGUCGAAAGAACCACUGACAC